rnacentral:rRNA from 1 species
UACGAAGGGGGCAAGCGUUGUUCGGAAUUACUGGGCGUAAAGGGCUCGUAGGUGGCCAACUAAGUCAGACGUGAAAUCCCUCGGCUUAACCGGGGAACUGCGUCUGAUACUGGAUGGCUAGAGAUUGGGAGAGGGAUGCGGAAUUCCAGGUGUAGCGGUGAAAUGCGUAGAUAUCUGGAGGAACACCGGUGGCGAAGGCGGCAUCCUGGACCAACACUGACGCUGAGGAGCGAAAGCCAGGGGAGCAAACGGG